ACAGCCCUUCCUGCAGGGUGACGGAGCUCACACCGACACCUGGUCUCCCUGGUGAGCCACUUCCACCAUCCAACGGACGUGAGACAGGGAUGGUGUCACCUGUCUGUCUCAUGGGGGAGUCAUGAAGCUUAAUUAACGCAACUGGCAAUAAGGCAGCAACUCAGCGCUGUCCUUUGGCAGAGGACGUGAAUAGGUGACACGACGGAGCAAAAGCUAGGAGCUGAGGGAGCUGCGGCUCGUGCCAGGCUGCACUGGCAAUACCAGGUCCUGACCCUGCAGGUGAAGGGGAGAUGCUUCUGUGCUGGAAGUAGACAGAAUGCUUUCAACGAGAAGAGCAGAUAAGCUGUGCUGUUAGACACACUGCUUGGCACGUUCCUGUUUCUAGAAAGCGAGGGAUUUGGCUGAGUACGCCAGCAGCCCACUGUGUGCUGUAAGAAUAGCUGUCUGUUGGUAGGAAAGUUGCCUGGUGCUUUCACUGCAGCACUGAACACCUACUGGUGGUGUUCUGGGUCCCUGCGGACCCGCUGUCAUCCUGUUUUGUUGUAUUUCGGUUAAUGGCUUGCACAGAUCACAGCGACUCUGCUGCAUUUUCUCUCACAGGUAGAAAUCCUGUUUUUCCCCCCUCCCUAACUCACAAAGCCAAGGUUCAAAACUUUCAAAUUUCUUUGCCAGCCCUGCACAGCAGCUUGUAUUGUCUGAUACUUCAGAUGAAUUUUCCCCAGUCGUUAACAUGUACCUGUGAACUGUGUACUUGUAGCUCGGAAAUGAAAUGCUGCCCUGGGACAAUACUUGAUUGGCUAAAAACUGGCAGAGUUUGUUUCAUAAUUCAAAGGGGACAGCAGUUGGCUUUUAAAGCUGGUUAUUCGGGGUGGUCCUGGAGUAUAUAUUUCACCUAGGCUUUGAGAAGGGCAAAUGAUUAAAGCGUGGGUAUGUGCUAGGAAUUCAGGAAUUAUACCAGGAACUACACUUCAGGAACAUAACUUGGAAUGGGAGAUGAAAAAGGUGCUUUAUUUAUUUGCUCUUCUGACAUGCAGCAACACACAGUUCUGCUCUGGCUCUGUCCCUGACAUGCUAACUCUUUGCUUCACCAAAGGCAACUAACGCAGGCGUGAAGCUGCGGAUUGCUGGAGGGAUGAUGACACUGGGAGCUGUGACCAGAGCUGCAGCUGUUUACCACAGCUGUAGAGGUGGAAGGGGAGGGCUUUGGCAAAUGCAAGUCUGAUCCUCCAGAGAGAUCACAAAAAAAGAGCUGCCAGCCUUCAGUCUGUCAAGGAUCUGUUCUUCGUGCAUCACCUUUAGCUGUUUUUCACGUCGCUCUUCUCUCGAAGGUGUGCACUGUGAUGCUGUGCCAUCAGCUGUGCUACAGCCCGCCCAGGGCAGGCCAUGAUGGCAUUGUGCAGCACCGCACAGUGCCCAGGAACAUGCAUGGGGUGAGAGGCGGGGUGGCUGCAGAGCUGAUGGGCUCCCUCCAGCAGGUUGCCUGCUGAAGGGAACAGCAGUGGGUGAUCAGUCUGACCGUAGCUAGAUGCUACCCCUGGGGCCCAGGGCUUAUCUCUGUACCACAGUGCCUUUUGCUGCAUAGAUAGAUCAGGUGUUCGGGGCCAGCAUGGCUAUCUCUGCUGCUGCACGUGAUGGGGGCAGUCUGUGGGGGCAGCACCUGAGGCAUAAUCAAGUUAACUACUUGAAUUGAUUUGUCUACAAUGCAUGUUCUCUCCUAGUGUCCUGCAGCAUCAGCCUCAACAGGGAAGACGCUAGAAGAGUGCAGCUCAGAGUGAUUUGAUUUUGUUUCCAGUUUUCAAAGCUAUGGCCUUUGUAUAUAACUGCAGCAGAUGGCCCGCACUACUUAGGCACAACCUGAUCUCCUGCGUCACCCCCACUAAGACACUCUUGUAGGAAACGUGACAGGUUACUUAAAACACUGAGCUCCAGAGCUGCUGCACAGCUGAUAGCUGGAAGAAACCACUCAAGGAGACACAAACGGUGGAGAGGAAGCCAGGGAGGCAGCGUGGGUAGGACUGCUAGUUAGUGCCAGCUGCCAGGUGUGCAUCGUGCCCUGGGGGCUUGGCAUGUCCGCCCCAUGUGUACAGGGAGACUGCAGCGCGUUGCAUAGCUAGCCGAGCUGUUCUCUGGUGCUGCACAAUGCAGUUGUGAUAAGGGGGGAGAGUGCCCAUGUAUGAAUGAGCCUGGUGCCAAAAUACCUUUUAAUGUAUUUUGCCAGGUUCUCAGCAGGGGUAACGCUUUAGGGUCCUGCUGAUGUGGAGUCCAGACCUGGAAGGAACUGGGCUGUGGCAGCGAAGAUGUGUUUGUCUGCCGGUCCUGCUCCAUCUGGUGAGCAAUGCUUGCUCUGGUUGGAAGUCACCUUGGAGGGAAGCUUUUGCUGCUUAUUCUGCUAGGCAAGCAGGAGCAUCCUGCUUAAAAAUUGAUAUUCCUGAUUAAGAGAUAUUCCUGAUAUUCUCUGAUUAAGAGCUGCGAUUUCCGCAUAAAGGUGGCUAGGGUAAGAGCCUAGGGUUGGAGAACAGUACUAAUAAGCGGCACAUUUUCUUCACAGAUAUGUGAGGUUUAAUUCUCUUCUUAUUCAGUUGUCAUUGGUCUCAUCUUAAUAGAAGUCCUCCCUGAGACUGC